UAAAAUGUUAAUUUUACCUAAAAAAAAAAAAAUUAGUUCGAAACAUUGUGUGCCAGAUGGCUGUAUUGAUGAUUACACUAUAGCACUUGAGAUUAAUACACCAGAUGGCCCAACGCGGCGGCGACGGCGUCGGCGAUGUCGCCGUCAAUUAGAUUAAUUGUUAUUAUACGAGUUAAUAAGCUUGACCGUUAUUCGUAUAGUGAAUAAUAAAUCAAUAUUUUUUUUUUGUAGACAAUAUAUACUAAUGGCGACUUUUCAAGUUUUCUUAUAGCAAAACACAUUCUUAAAUAAACACUACCGCCGCCGCCGCCGACGACGACGACGUAAUCACUGGAACAUAUAUAUUAUAAUGUUUAUAAUAUUAUUAUAAUCUGUAUUAUACUUAUCGAUUAAUGUCUUACAUAUAUAUUUUGUUUGAAUUAUUACUGGUAUCCCUCCCAUUGUUAUAAAUUAUUACCGUAUUUAACAACUGUAAUAAAUUAUUUUUAAUAAAAUAAUAGCUUCGACUGGAAGGAUUGCAUUCUUCAUCCGUCAACGCAUUAGAGACGGCAGACGGUCAUAAUUUUUACAAAGGCAUCUGUUUUAAAUCCUAAUGACAUAUAUGUGUAAACAUUUCACUUUAAUUUUCACGCUAUUUUAAAUAACUAUAUUUUACUAUAAUAAUUAAAACGUAUAUAAAUUAGACAUGCAGACGUAUCAAAUAUACGAUGGAAAACUGAAUUUUUUGUCUUUGCUUAAUACUACUAUAUGCAUGGGUAUGAAUGACGUAGGUGGCCAGUGUUCAUUACAAUCAUUUAUCUAGUAAUAUUUAAAUAUCUUAGUCGUAUACACCUCAUCCUUUAUCACGAAUUAAUUAUCUAAAAGAUAUUUGGAAAGGAGGAAGGGGUGGGGGGCAGCAACAUAACAUUGUAUGUCGACUUCUAAUAGGUUCUCAGUAUUUGUUAAUCUAUUGUGUGCGUAAGAUGGAUUAUUUCAAUGAUAUAUCGGAUAAAUUGAAUUUUCUUGUUGAAAACGAUCCGACGGAUAGAGUUUUCAAACUAGUUAGUAAACUAUUGAAAAAUUAUAGAGAUUUACAAUAUUUUGCGGAACGUCUAGGCGAUAAAGUUAACGGUGUAGGUGGAGACUUUUUACAUUACAAAGGUUGUGAAUUUUCGGAAGUGGGAAAAAAUUCGGACAAUCAUGAAUGUGCAUGCUCAGUUGUGAAGCGAAUAUAUUACGAACUUUUGGAUUCAAUCGAAACAAUUGAAAAGACGACGAAUGCGAACCGCAGCGACAGUAAAGCCUAUUGGACCUUGAGACUUUAAUCACAAUGGCCACACCAAGGUGUAAAUUCAAUAAAAUCAACGACUUGAUCGAUUCAUCAAUGUAUAGAUUGUAUUAAAACAUUGAAAAUUAUCUUCAGUGAUUAUCCACACAUGAAACAUGUUUAUUACUUCUCCAAUCUGGUGGAAUUGGCUACAAACAGAUAAUUUCUAGGAAUUGAUACUUUACCAAAAAUUGACAAGAAAGAUCGUGACUUUUCCAGUCAAAUUCGAAGAUGAUUGAAAUAAAAUAACAAGUUUACAAAACAACUAGUUUUUUAUUAAAAAAAAUUAUAUAUACA